rnacentral:lncRNA from 1 species
AUGCAUAUAGAAGACAGAGUUGACCUGGAAAACCAGCUACUUCCUCAAUCCCACCCAACUUUUGGAUGGUUAUCCAAAAUGCUUCAUUGUAAUAUAGAAUCCAAAUGAUCUGCUUGUCCCUCUGAGGGGAGGCUGUGGUACUUAGGGGCAAAAACACUGUGAUCUACUCACUAGGCCAUCUGGGGCAUCUGGAAAACAACUUAUCUCUGGAGAAAUUGUUGUCUCUACCCAGCUGUGUAUGGGCUUUGUGUUCUCAACUGUUCAGGAACAUGCUGUUGGUCAGUAUUGUGCCAACUGUCCAUGGUGGUGCCAUUGCCCCAUGUAAUGUCAAAAUGCCAGCCCAGAACACUGGUAUGGGGUAUAAGAAGACCUUUUAAGCUCUAGUGUUCACCACUAAAAUUUCUAGGGUACCUCUAAAACUCUGCAGCUGAUAAAGAUCAGAGAUCAUGUGGGAGCCAGCAAAGCCACUCAUCAAGCAGGGCUUAGACAGUGGUAGCUUCUACAAGCUGGAAGUACUUGACAUCACAGGGAAACUACAUUCUCAUGUUCUGGAUGGUGUCUACAAUGUUGUAAUAUCUGUCUAUAAAUUGUUUAUCCAGCUG